rnacentral:rRNA from 1 species
UAGCAUAUGCUUGUCUCAAAGAUUAAGCCAUGCAUGUCUAAGUAUAAACCCCUUUAUACUGUGAAACUGCGUACAGCUCAUUACAUCAGUUAUUAUUUCCUUGAAUGUGACUUUCUACAUGGAUACCCGUAGUAAUUCUAGAGCUAAUACAUGCGCAAGGUCCCGACUUUUCGGAAGGGAUGUGUUUAUUAGAUUCCAAGCCAGCCAUGGGGGGGGUAACCUUCCCAUUCCUCGGUGACUCAUAGUAACUUUACGAAUCGCUGCUUCGGCAGCCGAUG